CUUCCCUGACACGGAAGAGGUCACUGGUUCGAACCCAGUAUCGCCCA
rnacentral:tRNA from 1 species